GAGAGCUGAUGUCACAAGUGCUUUGAGCAGAGAGUUUAUAAACUGUGACAGCCUGACAAACCAUCGAACUGCUCAACAGACAGACGAGGACGAAACGUUACACCCAGAAGUCAUCAGAAACACCAUGUAUCACCUGAGAGUGCCUGUGUUUCUCCUGGCGGCGCUUGUGUUGCUCCGCUGCAUCACAGCCGCUCCAAUGUCAGGUACUUCAGUCCCGGCUCCUCCUCCGACGAGCAAGAAAAUGCUCAUCCAGACAAGGCGAGCAGGUCACUGCCUGAGCUAAACUCCGACUUGAUCGUCGACCUGAAGGGAGCACGGUUUCAGAGGGGGCUCACAGCAACGAACAGCCAUCACUUACAGAAGAGAAAGUGCAACCUACCUAGCUGUACAACUCAGAGGUUAGCACAGACGCUGGGCAAAAAAACCACAGACGUGGGCCCGGACUCCAUUGGCAAGAGGGACAUACCUCAGUCUCCUGCCCAGCUGCCAUAGGGUUACUGGCCCAGAGGAGCCACGACUCCUUUGUACUACAAACUGGGAGAACACCCCAGUGACAUAAUGAUCAUGUGUAACGGUGAAUGAAUGAAUAACGACUCUGGUUAUAAAUCAAAUCGUAAGAUGAUUUUUUAAAAUCAUUUUAUGAGCUUCAAAACUACCGUGCCUUUGAUCUAAGCCAUCUGAAUCCACAUUUUCUUCCAGCUUUGUGAAUCUUGUAAAUCACAGCACUAAUGAAAUGAAGAAAAAUUUUGUUUCUCACAAAAAAUUAUUGCAGGAGAUUUCUGUUUCAGCACAAGAUGCCAAUUAAAUCAAUAAAAGUAUUUCUUCCUCAACAGGUUGGGGUAGAAAACACAGUGA